rnacentral:lncRNA from 1 species
AUGUGUUUCAGCUCUCCCCUUCAGGAUCUGCCUGUGGGUCAUGCCCUGCAAGUCCCCUACACAUUGCUCUGCAGUUAUCUGCUGCUCUGUAAGAGUGGAAUGGUAACUUCCAGUUUUCUUGUUAAGGAAAAGACAAAGUUUACCAUCACUUUCCAAACACAGAAGCGUUGUCUUGGCAGCAAUUGGGAAUACAGCUUUCUUUUUGCAGCAUGUGAUCAUCCAAAGAAAACAACGCAGAAAUCAGACACACAAAAGCUUAGUGGGAAGACAGGUGUGCUGAAUGCUUUGAAAUGCUCAGAUAUUGCAGCAGCAAAAGGACGUUCAGAGAAACUGAUUUGAACUCUAUAUGGAUGUAUGAAAGGGCAGCCAUUCUGCAGUAGAAAAGAGAAUGCAGCUAACUUGGUGAUCAAUGUCUGUACUUGAAAUGAAUGUUUCUGUAUUCAGCUCGUAUAAUUACAUUAGUAGGUCUUCUGAGUGUUCAUUCAUUUGUGUACAUGAAUAAGACUUAAAUUCUGUGAUAUAUGAUCAUCCCUUCAAAUCAGACAGCAGCCUACCAAAAUAGCUUAAACUUGAUCUUGUAAUAAAAUGUAUCACGCCAGAUGAAUUUGAAAACA